AGCAAAAUGAAGCUUGGUUAGUGUUUUGGAGUCGAAUAUGAUUUGAUGUUAUGUGUAUGAUUGAGUAUAAGAACUUAAACCGUAACCGGAUCUUAAAAGCCUAAGUAAUGUUUCCUUGUUAGAAUAUACAAAGCAAACGAUUC
rnacentral:sRNA from 1 species